GCUGGGCAUGGUGGUGCAUGCCUGUAAUCCCAGCGGCUUGGGAGGCUGAGACGGGAGGAUCACAAGUUCAAGGCCAGUCUCAGAAACUUAGCAAGGCCCCGAGUAACUUAGCAAGAUCCUAUCUCAA
rnacentral:sRNA from 1 species